UACGAAGGGGGCUAGCGUUGCUCGGAAUCACUGGGCGUAAAGCGCACGUAGGCGGAUUGCUAAGUCAGGGGUGAAAUCCUGGAGCUCAACUCCAGAACUGCCCUUGAUACUGGCGGUCUCGAGUCCGGGAGAGGUGAGUGGAACUGCGAGUGUAGAGGUGAAAUUCGUAGAUAUUCGCAAGAACACCAGUGGCGAAGGCGGCUCACUGGCCCGGUACUGACGCUGAGGCGCGAAAGCGUGGGGAGCAAACAGG
rnacentral:rRNA from 1 species